CUCUUCUCUUGAAUUGGAGUGAAUGUUUUGAACAACAAAUUAUGGUAGAAAUAAUGCUUUGUGACUUCGGAGGUGAGGUCACAAAAGACCACGAAGCUUCCUGCUGUUUCUUCCAGCUUCCAUUCUCUCUCUGGAAUUUCCCUCUUGGAUGCUUCCUUUUGGAGCUCAGUCACCAUGCCUUGAGAAACCCAAGCAGGAAAAGGUUGUGUGUAGGUGCUCUAGUUGACACUGUGAGCUGAGGACACAAAAAGAAGACGGCGGUCUAUGAACCAAGAAAUGGACUCUCACCAGACAACAAGUCUGCCAGCACCUUGAUCUUGGACUUCCCAGCAUCCAGAACUGAAAGCCCCAGCUCUGCUGUUAAGCUCUUUUAAUUGGUUGAAUCUGGGUGGCCAGAUCAUCUAAAAUAAUCUUCCUUGUGUAUAGUCAACUGGUUAUCGACUUUAAUCACCUCUACAAAAUACCUUCACAGUGAGACCUAGAAUGGUGUUUAAUUGAAUAACUGAAGACUGUGGCCAAACUGAAUUCAUCCAUAAAACUGACCAUCACAGCACCUAACUCAGAACAGAAGAGGAGAAAGGCAUCAAGAACCUUCUUAGAAGAAUUUGUUCCUAAGAUGAUUCUUAAAGUAUGAGUAGGAUUCAGUCAGGUUCAGAGUGGAGUACAGGUGUUCCAGCUGGCAAAGGAAGGUACAUGCUUUUGAGGUUACUAGAUUGUAAACUCCAGGAGAGAAGCAAUGGCCUGUGGCCCUUUCCUUCAUGUCUGCUUAAUCAACACUGUUAGAGACCAUGAAAUGGUGGUAUUUUCAUGGGAAAAAAAUUAAUAGAGUUUAAAAGAACCAUCAUUCAUCCAAGAGGCUUUAGAGAAUAGAUGGCUUAGAGCUGGGCUUGAAGAAAAUAAAAGAACUUAGAAAAACAGAGAAGCUUGAGUGGCAUUACAGAGAGCGCACCCAGCGAUGACUCUGCUGGCUAUGGCUCCAUAUCCAGCCCUGGCAUAAAACCGGCUGCCCCUUCCCUCCUAGCCCCUCU
rnacentral:lncRNA from 1 species